rnacentral:lncRNA from 1 species
AUGAAUAGCUGGUAUACUGAAGGAGGGGUAAGUAAAAGCGUUAAUGUUUUACCGAAUCCACUUGUCCAAAGGUUGACGAAAUUAAUUUCUCGGCUUGCAAGUAGUCACCAAGCUGGUCCCCACUUAGAGCAGGUAUAUGAACAGUACUGUAAACAAUUAAGAUGGUGGGAGAAGAUUAACCUGAUUGUUACCCACAGUAUGACACGGAAAAAGUCAGUGGCAUGGAUAUAUUACAGCCACGGCACUGUUGCUGUUCGAGAGCUCUGGAAACUGCAUUUUCAACUUAGUCACCUACAAGAUGCAUCUCUGGGGAACAGGAAAAUCAUGCACCCACAUGGGUCCAGAUGGCAUCAGCGCUGCUGACGAAGAUGAUCCACACAUUGUUAAAAUGACCCCUUCUCUGCUCUGAACCGAGUCAGCUCCAAUUGCAUGGACAUCUUAGGUCAAGAUGUCAGCUACACAUGAGGCAGUUUACAACGGGUACGAACCUCCUUGGGAGAUACUUGGCCAAGGAACAGAUUCUGGCACAUUUUUUUUUUUUUUUGGAGGGGAUUGAAAAGUUGGUUUCCUCAGCACCUCCUCUGUUUCAUGCUGGUUAGCAUUGCCAGAGAUUUCUUCAUUUAAAAGAAUCCUUCCCCUCUUCAUUAAACAUCUGUUUAUUCAAUAUGAUUCUCCAGAGAUAGCAAUUUGAUGGCUCAACAGAUGAUUAGAUGUUCUUCCUCACCCCUAUCCUUGGUCAGAACUAUUUACUGCUAUUAAAUACCACAUUGAUGAAAAAACAAAUACUGUGGGCUCCUGUCUUUUAAGCUACUAUGGUCUCUUCUGUUGUGUGUGCAUACUACACUAGAUAGCCCAACGUUUGGGUCAAAAUAAGAUAGAUGCCCCCGUCUUCAAGUGCUCUAGCAUGUUUACUCAAUAUUUUAUCCUAGUCCUUUCUAUUUGUUUACAUGAAAAACAAACCUUGAGAAGAUGGAGAUCCUGUUCUUGGGAGGGCAUCCUGAUCAGUUAAGGGGGCCUGUUACACGAUCUUGAUGAGGUCACUCUCCCCUUGAAGGAUCAGGUGUGAAAUCUGGGUGUGCUUCUGGAUCUGGCCCUCUUGAUGGAGAAACAGAUCCUGGCUGUGGCCAAAUCUGAGGCAGAGUGCACAACUC